rnacentral:lncRNA from 1 species
GAGAGUCCUUGGCCUUCAUCAGGAGAGUCCUUGACCUUCAUCAUCCUCAGAGAACCCUUGGCCUUCAUCAUCCUCCUCAGAGAGUCCUUGACCUUCAUCAUUGUCUUCUGAGGGCCUUGGCCUUCAUCAUGUUGAUCUUCAUCAUCAUCCUCACCGUGGGAGAGCCCUUGGCCUUCAUCCUCCUCCUGAAGAGCCCUUGACCUUCAUCUUCAUCAUCAUGGAAGAGCCCUUGGCCUUCAUCCUCCUCCUGAAGAGCCCUUGACCUUCAUCCUCCUCCUCCUGAAGAGCCCUUGGCCUUCAUCAUCAUGGAAGAGCCCUUGACCUUCAUCAUCAUCAUCAUGGAAGAGCCCUUGGUCUUCAUCAUCAUCAUCAUGGAAGAACCCUUGGCCUUCAUCAUCCUCCUCCUCUCCAUGGAAGAGCCCUUGACCUUCCUCCUCCUCCUCCUCCCCCGCUGUCACCGAGGCCCCUCCCGCCCCCUCCCCCCACUUUGGGUCCAUUCCCCCCUUUUUUUGGUCCAGUCUUGGUCACUUUUUGCUCCUUUUUGGGUCAUUUCCCCCAUUUUUUUUCAUUUUCCCCCAUUUUUGGUUCAUUUCCUCCAUUUUUCCUUCUUUCCCCCUUUUUUUUACCAUUUUCCCUUUUUUCUCCCUCAUUUUCUUCCAUUUCCCUCCAUUUUACCCAUUUUUGGUCGUUUUUCCUCCACUUUGUUCAUUUUUGUUCUUUUUUUUGGUCUCCCCAUUUUUUGUUCAUUUUUGUCCCAGUUUUUGUUCAUUUUUGUCCCAAUUUCAGUCACUUUUCCCCCAUUUUUGUUCUUUUUUUCCCCCCAUUUUUAUUCUUUUUUUUCCCCAUUUUUGUUCCUUUUUUCCCCAUUUUUGUUCUUUUUUUCCCAUUUUCGUUCUUUCCCAUUUCCCCCCAUUUUUGGUCUUUUUUCCCCAUUUUUGGUCAUUUUUUUUUCUCCAUUUUUGUUCAUUUUUUCCCCCAUUUUUGUUCUUUUUCCCCCCAUUUUUGGUCGAUUUUUUCCCCAUUUUUGGUUGAUUUUUUCCCCCAUUUUUGUUCUUUUUUCCCCCCUUUUUGUUCUUUUUUUUUUUCCCCAUUUUUGGGUUUUUUUCCCCCAUUUUUGUUUUUUUUUUUCCCAUUUUUGUUCCUUUUUUUCCCAUUUUCGUUCUUUCUCAUUUCCCCCCAUUUUUGGUCUCUUUUCCCCCAUUUUUGGUCGAUUUUUCCCCCAUUUUUGGUCUUUUUUUUCCCCCAUUUUUGGUCAUUUUUUCCCCCCAUUUUUGGUCAUUUUCCCCCCAUUUUUGGUCGAUUUUUUCCCCCAUUUUUGGUCGUUUUUUUUGCCCGUUUUUGGUCGUUUUCCCCCCGUUUUUGGUCGGUUUUUUUGCCCGUUUUCUUUGGUUUUUCAUAUUGAAAAGUCGCCCCCGGGGCCGAAAAUAAACCCGGGAUGGAAAAGCCACCCAAGCGUCGCUUUGUGUCACCUCUGUCACCUGG